GGCUUAAAUAAAUUAAAAAGACGAUAAGACCCUAUAAAUCUUUACAUUUGUUAUUAUAGGUUUUGGAUUGUGUGUGUAAAAAAAAAUAUAAUAAAAAUGUUGUGUUGGGGCAACAGUGAUAUAGUAAUAUUAAUUGUUAAAAAUAAAAACAAAUAUAUUUGUUAAAUAAAGAUCCUUUUUAAAGAUUUAAAGAUUAAGUUACUUUAGGGAUAACAGCGUUAUUUUUUCUGAGAGUUCUUAUCGAAGAAAAAGAUUGCGACCUCGAUGUUGAAUUAAAAAUUCUUUUUAAUGCAGCAGUUAAAAAAGAAAGUCUGUUCGACUUUUAAAUUUUUACAUGAUUUGAGUUCAGACCGGCGUGA
rnacentral:rRNA from 1 species